CCCCUGCCUCGCCUCCCCUGCACACGCGCCUCACACCCGAGGCCAUGGCCACUCCGCUCCCGGGCGCCCGCUUCGCCGCGUACCGCGCUGCUCUGCCCGCUACUAGCAAGCACACCGGCGGCCCCCUCGCUCCGCCUUGUCUCCUCGCUCGUGCGCCACCAGGGGUGGAGCCCCUCGCGCCCGGGGCGGCGCCCUGCUGCAGCAGCUUUGCCUGAUGGCUUCCUCCCCCAGCGGGCCACCGCGCCGUGGCCGCUGCCUCCUCCCCUCCGCAGCGCUCGCGUCCGCGCCCGCCCCGCCAGCGCCUCCUGCCUGCCUCUUGCCGAGCGCUGGAGCGGGCGGCCAGGCUGCUGGCGCUCUACGGCGCGAGCAUCGUGGAGUACACGAGCUAGGCGGACGCGAUGACCAUCCCGGGGCACUACGUGGUGUACUGGGAGCUGAGUUCAAGGACAGCCGCGAGGGGCCGUGGUCGGAGGCGGCGGUGUUCGAGCGGUGUUGCCUGGAGAUGGAGGUGGCGUACGGCUUCUACGAUGAGCUGCCCCGUCAGGCUCCGGUGCCGGCCAAUUCGACGGCGCACUCAACGUGUUUGAGGAAAUGAGGCCGUCGGCGUCAAGCCAAACUAGGUCGAUAUUAAGUGUACUUGUUAACUUCUAGUCAUAUGCAUGUAUGCAACCAAACGCUGGGUGAAAAUUGCAUCUCGAUGACAAAACCUCCUAAUGCAGGCAACCAAUCGAGUUUGACAUCUACGUUUUUGGCUUCGUUUUCUCUCACCCAGGACCUGCUCAGUCUGCCUCGUUUUUUUCCUCUGAGCCAGGCCCGGCAGUGAAAGCAACCAAACACGCCCUUGGUCAACAGGUUAUGACCGGUUUUCGCUAAUUGACGGGGUGACUCUGUUGGCCUUAAUUCAUUUCUUAUGAAAGUGAAAAGUCUUUCACCUUGUUUAUUAACAGAAAAUACCCAAAUUCUCAAAAAAGAAAAAAGAAAAAAGGUGGCAUCCAAAUACCCUAGCCCCCAAAUCGAGCUCGCAGCAGUUGCGAGUGGGGAUUCCUCCGCCGGCAUCCGGCAUCCGGCGUCUCCGGUCCAUUCCCCAUUCCCCCGCCACCUGCAAUUCCAUGGGGGCGGGUCACAGCGUCGGGCGUCGGGAUUCCGACGCCGGAGCAGGCGGCGAGGACCGCCUCAGCGCGCUUCCAGACGACGUGCUCGUCAGCAUCCUCGUCAAGCUCCGCGACGCCGCGGCCGCCGCCCGGGCCAGCGUCCUCGCCCGCCGGUGGCGCUCCCUCUGGCCCCUCCUCCCGGAGCUCGCCUUCGCCGACGGCAUCCAGCACCACCGCAUAGUCCCCGCCCUCGCCGCCCACGAAGCGCUGGACCUCCGCGACAUCCAGGUUGCCACCCGAGAGGCCUCCGUCGAGUACCUGGCGGUCUGGCUCCCCAUCGCCGCGCGCCGCCUCUCCGGCUCCAUGCACCUCCGGGUGGUGUGGCACGAGGGCGAGGCCGAGGUCCGGGCGGCGCUGGAGCCCGAACAGAGAGGGGCCAUCCUGCUCCCUUGCUUCCGGCGAGCCACCUCCGUCGUACUCGAGUUCUCGUUUCUCCGCCUCGUCCUGCCGCCAUCCGGGGUGUUCGCCCGGCUCCAAAUCCUCAUGCUGGUCGGCAUCCUCGUGUACGGGCAGUGCAGCCUCGGCGACGCCGUCUCUUCCCCGCGCUGCCCAUGCUUGAAGGUUCUCUUCGUCCAGAGCGCCCGCGGUCUGGGCAGCUUCAGGAUCCACUUCAGGUCCCUCCUGCAGCUGCAGCUGUCGGAUCUGCGCGACAUGCAGCAGCUCACCGUCGUCGCGCCGUUGCUCCAGUUCUUGAGAGUGAGAUGGUGCUUUACCAAUGUAGCAUAUGCACUGAAUCCAAGUCAACCAGUAGCCAGGAUCUCAGCCCCUCUCCUGGAGAAGCUCGAAUGGAUGUGUGAUUUCGUUCCUAGCUCUGUCCAGCUUGGUGAGAUGCCACCACAUCUCCGACGCCUUGUCGCUGGAAUCAUCAUGGUAUAUGGAUCAGAUUGCAUUGCUCCACACAACCGUUGUUGCAUUGGCAUUCUGCAGCGCUCUGAGCGUCUCGCUGCUCUCCGCCUCUGCCUUGCCUAUCCGCCGGUCAUAGGUAACUACAAAUACUUGACGGAAGACAUGACAAGGCUCCCCGACGUUGACUACUUGACCCUAGAUAUAUUUUCAUGUGGACAUUCCUUUGGACCCAGCUCAUUCCAUCUUCUCAGGAUGUGCUCUCGUUUGACAAUACUCAAGAUCAGAUUUUCUUGCCAACUGCCGGUAAUGCACUCCUUAAUUUUUUUUAAUCUGAUGAUACUUCAGUUACCAGAAAGUCGCAUAAAGAAAUAUGUCAAUGCAUAUUUGUUUUUCUAAUUAAGCACCAAUUAGCCUUGAGCUGCUAGUUUCACCGCUCUUCAUUUUGGUUCGACACUGAUAAUAUGGUAUAAAGUUUAUCUGUGGUAACUAUAUGCCUUGUGCAUCUCCUAGUGACAACCAUUCACUUUUCGUGUUUUUCAGAAUUUGGCAGUACUAUUUUGGUUCAGAAAUGUGCAAUACUUCUUUGGUCGGCAACUUCGUAAUAGGUUUCACCUCAAAUGAUUGCCGGUUUCAUUCGAUACUGUUCCUCUUCUUCAGCAAAUUCAAGAUCUUCAUUUUCUUCAUUUUGGGUGGGGUAGGGUGUGUGGUGGGCAGGUGCAUAAUACACUGAAGGUUCAAGACAACAAUACUAAUACGUUCUUUCUACGACCUUUCUAUCUGCUAAUCCUACUUUCUGCAUUAUCUUGGCUUCGAAGUAUUUUCCUGCAUUUCAUCAUUUUCAGCUUUAUCUCCCUUGUUUUACUUUUCAAGGACAAGCAAGAUCGCAUAAUCUUUGUAUUAUAGAAGAAAAGACUUGACGGCUGAACUGUAAAAUGCCACCAAGGCACAAACCGGUUGCUUCUCAGGUUGCAUAUGCGAUCAGCUACCAAACUGGAAAACCGAAGAACUCGGGCUGAUCUGGCUCGAAGAAGUACAGAUCUUGAGCUUUGCAGGAACUGAA